AGAUGGUGCUGUUUUCAAGAAUUAGAAGGUAUUCACUGUACACUAUAGUAGUAUAGUCAUUUGUACUUUCACAACAAUGAUGAAAGUCAAAGAAGAAAGGAGAUUGGGCCAGUGAUGUUGAUAGCAUCAAGAUGUUGGGAGAUAAAGAUCACAAGGCCAAAUGCAAAGAUGAGAACAAACAGUCUUCUUAGUAAAACGAGAUGAAGAGUUCUGAAUAUAGAUGAAUUGCUAGUUAUUGAAAUCUUUUUAGUAUAUCAAAAGAAGGGAUGCAUAAGCCUUACCACUGCCUUACACUGCAAGAACAGCCAGUCAUGGGGAACAUUAUCCAGUAGAUAAAU
rnacentral:lncRNA from 1 species